AUCCCGCAGCACACGGCCCGGACUGGGGUGCAGGGCGCGCUCACGCUCCGCCCCCCACUCCACCUGCUUCCCGUACCCUAAGCGGUCCUCCAGCCGCUGUAGAAACAAAUGCAUUGACCCCGGAGUGGCCUCGAAGGAGGCACCUGGGGAGGUGACUCCUUGGGUCUCCAAGCACGCCUUGGGACAGAAAAGCACUCCGGGCGCGGCGGAGCAGGACAAGAGGAUGGGGAGAGGACGAGAGAAGGGGACCACUCUUCAGCCAAGGUGACCUCUGAACGCCACAGUCGCUCAACACCUGGAGAGUCGAGAUACCAGUGUGCCAUUCCUGGGUCGCGCCCCCUCACCUCUACCCCUCCCCCUUCCCGAGACUCCACUCGGCCAGGGACCCAGCUCUCUGAUGCCCCCUGCUGGAAGCCUCCUAACCCCUACUUCGGUUUCCCGUCCCUACCUCAGGCGCGAGCAGGUACUGCAAGCCAGUAAGAGGCACUGAUCACCUCUGAAGUGGACCCCAAAGUAGGACGCUCCAGAUAGUCUUCUCGCGCCUCUUCGGGUGACACCUUUGUCACCUCCACGGCAACCUGCAAAGCUCUAUCUCGGCGCGCCCCACCCUAGUUCACCUUAAUAGGCCUACCUGGUGAUUCUGCAGACUUUUCCAUGUCCAGCUUGGACCCAGACUCACGUUGACCUUCGGUGCUCAGGCUUCUCCCUCCUUCCUUCCCUCGGGUUUUGGGGUCAGUUCCUCCUCUCGGAAUCCUCUCUUCGAGAGUGGCAGGUGGGCCGAGCCCUCUGUGCGUUGUAUUUACCCCUGGCAUUCCCAAAGGCAGUUCGGAUGGUCACAAAAAGGCCACCCAGUGCCCACAUCUCUUCCCUGCAGUCCACCCGGCAGAAUGGCUGGCCGACAGAGCCCGGGAGAGGAGACCCCACCCCAAGUGGCCCAGAUGACAAACCGGUUUCCCCACUUCUUGAUCUACCCGGUCCCAGCCUUAAUCUGGGCUCCCUUGCUUUUCUGCCCGCCCCCAGGCCUGCCUCUGAGCCAGCCACAUGCCCAGCUAAGGACAGGGUCCCAAAGGCCCCUUACAGAUCGAUUCCAGUUCCACUAACUCAGGUGACAGGGUAAGGCAGUGGGCGGGGACUCAGCUCCAGCUGGCCAUCUCAGGAGGACAGCCAAGAGCUGUGUCCUGGACACACGGUCUGGGCACACAACCCCAGCAGUUAAGACCAUGAAUUCCCUCCUGGGCCAGCUGCGUUUCCCUCUGCCAACUGGAUGGUGCCCAUCUUUUGGCCUCUGGGCACUCACUGGGCACCCUUCCAGCUCCCUGCCUGGCUGCCUUCCCAAGAUGGGCACCAGGAGGCAGCGGCCCUGUGCAUGGGAGGGGCUACAGCUAUUAAACCUUCAGCCUGGCACACACCUCUCCUCUCUUCAGACCAUCACGUUGCUCAGUAAGACUCCUGCCUUUGGGGUCUUCCCAAACCAGAACUCCUCCCCACCAGGGACAAAAUGUUUUCCUGUCCCUAUUCUGUGUCCAGGGGGAAGGGCAUCAGCCGGUACUGUACCCAUAGUCUCUAAUUUAAUCCUGCCGUAUUAGCCACGUUUCAGAAAUAAAGGCACACAUUUGUCAUCCUAGAUUUGGGAGGUAAAGGCAGGAGGAUCAACACAAAUUUUAGGCCAGUCCAGUCUUCCUAAGUGAGUCCUAGGCUAGCCAGGGAUGCAUGAUGAAACCUUGCCCAAGAAACAAAACGAAAUAGAAAGAAAUCAAGGAAGUAAGACAACAGCCCGAUCCAAGAGCCUCCAAGGUAAAAUUGAGACCCAGGUUGGCCUGACUCUAGGACCAAUAGCCUCUUUUCUAUGUCCACUAUACUCAUCUUACCUGUGGCCACCAGAGCAGAGACCAGCCCUGGCACCCCAUGACUCACACCCAGACAGCAGACAGCAGAUGAUGCAGGGAGUUAGGACAGGGGUUCUUUCAGUCCCCGAGGACCUGGGCAUUCUCUCAGAGGUGACAAUUGGAAAGAUAUUUCUCCUAUUCUUUUUGCUUGUUGGUUGGUUUUUUCGAGACAGAGUUUCUCUGACUAUGCCCUCUUUCCUUCACUUAACACUUGACUCCUGGACUCGCCAACAAGCCACUGAUCGAGACUGCGUGGGAAAAAGUGGUAGAAUCGGCACCUAGGAAUCGUAGACAGCUCCAAAGACAGCUCUGGAGGAAGCCCUCCAUGGCAAGACAAAAUCAUCAGGUGCUGUGCUGGCAGCUAGGGGCCUGGCAGUAUAAGGCCUUCCAGAAUAAUCCACACACGUAUGCCCACGUUCCACUCAUGGUGGCUUCCACGCCUACUGUCUACAGAAGGGAUCUGGAGACCCUCAGCCUCCUGAGCAGGUCAUAAGACAUCCUCAUUCUGGAAGAUUCCUGGCCCACAGCAGGGAGGAAUGCUGAAGGAUCUGAAUGUCAAGCCUGCUGCUGGCUUCCUUCAUGCAAUCAUGGUUAUGCCAUGACAUCUCCAUGAAAACCCAGAAGGACAGGAUUUGGGAAGCUUCGGGAUAGCUAGACGUGCGGCAGCUGCUGAAGAAUGGGUGAUUCAAGAAGAGUAUAUGGAAGUUCUGCGCCCUUCCUGCUUCCUGGUGCCUCGCACAUGCGAUAAUUCAUCCACCUUUGGAAUAGCCUUUAUUUUUUACCUUUUUUGUUUGUUGUUUGUUUGUUUUUCGAGACAGGGUUUCUCUGUGCA